GGUUCCGUAACCGAGUGGUUAGGUAGCGGUCUGCAAAACCGUUUACAGCGGUUCGAAUCCGCUCGGAACCU
rnacentral:tRNA from 1 species